rnacentral:rRNA from 1 species
AAACCAACAGGGAUUACCUCAGUAACGGCGAGUGAAGCGGUAACAGCUCAAAUUUGAAAGCUGGCUCUUUUAGGGUCCGCAUUGUAAUUUGUAGAAGAUGCUUCGGGUGUGGCUCCGGUCUAAGUUCCUUGGAACAGGACGUCAUAGAGGGUGAGAAUCCCGUAUGUGACUGGGUGCUUUCGCUCAUGUGAAGCUCUUUCGACGAGUCGAGUUGUUUGGGAAUGCAGCUCAAAAUGGGUGGUAAAUUUCAUCUAAAGCUAAAUAUUGGCCAGAGACCGAUAGCGCACAAGUAGAGUGAUCGAAAGAUGAAAAGCACUUUGGAAAGAGAGUUAAACAGUACGUGAAAUUGUUGAAAGGGAAGCGCUUGCAACCAGACUUGCGCGCUGAUGAUCAUCCGGGCUUCUGCCCGGUGCACUCGUCUGCGCUCAGGCCAGCAUCGGUUUCGGUGGUGGGAUAAAGGCCUUGGGAAUGUAGCUUCUUUCGGGGAGUGUUAUAGCCCUCGGUGCAAUGCCGCCUACCGGGACCGAGGACCGCGCUUCGGCUAGGAUGCUGGCGUAAUGGUUGUAAGCGACCCGUCUUGAAACACGGACCAAGGAGUCUAACAUCUAUGCGAGUGUUUGGGUGUUAAACCCAUACGCGUAAUGAAAGUGAACGGAGGUGAGAACCCUUAAGGGUGCAUCAUCGACCGAUCCUGAUGUCUUCGGAUGGAUUUGAGUAAGAGCAUAGCUGUUGGGACCCGAAAGAUGGUGAACUAUGCGUGAAUAGGGUGAAGCCAGAGGAAACUCUGGUGGAGGCUCGCAGCGGUUCUGACGUGCAAAUCGAUCGUCAAAUUUGCGUAUAGGGGCGAAAGACUAAUCGAACCAU